rnacentral:rRNA from 1 species
AGUGAACGCUGGCGGCGUGCUUAACACAUGCAAGUCGAACGAGAACGGAUUAUAGCUUGCUAUAAUUGUCAGCUAAGUGGCGCACAGGUGAGUAAUGUAUAGGUAAUAUGCCUCUUACUAAGGGAUAACAAAUGGAAACGUUUGCUAAUACCUUAUACUCCUUAUUAACAGAAGUUAAUAAGAGAAAGAUUUAUUGGUAAGAGAUUAGCCUGUAUUGUAUCAGUUAGUUGGUGGGGUAAUGGCUUACCAAGACUAUGACACAUAACUGGUUUGAGAGGAUGAUCAGUCACACUGGAACUGAGACACGGUCCAGACUCCUACGGGAGGCAGCAGUGGGGAAUAUUGCACAAUGGACGAAAGUCUGAUGCAGCAACGCCGCGUGGAGGAUGACACAUUUCGGUGCGUAAACUCCUUUUAUAUGAGAAGAUAAUGACGGUAUUAUAUGAAUAAGCACCGGCUAACUCCGUGCCAGCCGCCGCUGUAA